GCCAGGGUCUGACCCUGAGGAUGGGAGAGCCCCAGCCCUGCUCUAGCAGAGACAGAACAUCAAGAGUUAAUGCGAAAAUGAAACUCAGGGGGCCGUUCCAGAAUUUGUCGAAUAUCAGCUGACCGUGCCAUUGCAGCUGUCCCUGGUCCCUCACAGAAGAGGAGGCCCUCAGGAGGUCCCACGGGACCAGGCCUAGAGCAGACUCAUCUCAGCUCUCACUCCCACACAGCCCACCAUGGCUGCAGCUGCAGCUGCAGCUACAGUUACAGCUACAGUUACAGCUACAGUUACAG